UCUGGUGGCGAUAGCGAAGAGGUCACACCCGUUCCCAUACCGAACACGGAAGUUAAGCUCUUUAGCGCCAAUUGUU
rnacentral:rRNA from 1 species